GCGGCGUACGGGUGCGUAACACGUGUGCAACCUGCCUCUAUCUGGGGGAUAGCCUUCCGAAAGGAAGAUUAAUACCCCAUAAUAUAAUGAUUGGCAUCAAUUAUCAUUGAAAACUCCGGUGGAUAGAGAUGGGCACGCGCAAGAUUAGAUAGUUGGUGGGGUAACGGCCCACCAAGUCGAUGAUCUUUAGGGGUCCUGAGAGGGAGAUCCCCCACACUGGUACUGAGACACGGACCAGACUCCUACGGGAGGCAGCAGUGAGGAAUAUUGGACAAUGGGUGGAAGCCUGAUCCAGCCAUCCCGCGUGAAGGACGACGGCCCUAUGGGUUGUAAACUUCUUUUGUACAGGGAUAAACCUCCCCUCGUGAGGGGAGCUGAAGGUACUGUACGAAUAAGCACCGGCUAACUCCGUGCCAGCAGCCGCGGUAAUACGGAGGGUGCAAGCGUUAUCCGGAUUUAUUGGGUUUAAAGGGUCCGUAGGCGGGCCCGUAAGUCAGUGGUGAAAUCUCGCAGCUUAACUGCGAAACUGCCAUUGAUACUGCGGGUCUUGAGUGAAUUUGAAGUGGCUGGAAUAAGUAGUGUAGCGGUGAAAUGCAUAGAUAUUACUUAGAACACCGAUUGCGAAGGCAGGUCACUAAGAUUCAACUGACGCUGAGGGACGAAAGCGUGGGGAGCGAACAGGAUUAGAUACCCUGGUAGUCCACGCCGUAAACGAUGCUAACUCGUUUUCGGGCCGCAAGGCUCGGAGACCAAGCGAAAGUGAUAAGUUAGCCACCUGGGGAGUACGUCCGCAA
rnacentral:rRNA from 1 species